GCCAUAGCUCAGUGGUAGGGUAUCUGCCUUGCGUGUGGAAGGUACCAGGUUCAAUCCCCAGUAUCUCCA